UCAAACUUGGUCAUUUAGAGGAAGUAAAAGUCGUAACAAGGUUUCCGUAGGUGAACCUGCGGAAGGAUCAUUAUUGAAUACGAUUGGUGCUGAUGCUGGCUACUUGACUGGAGCAUGUGCUCGCACCGUCUUAUUUAUCUUCUCUUGUGCACAUCUUGUAGUCAUGAAGUGAAUCUUGCAUGCUUGGCCUUGCGCCUUAGUGUGGUUUGGGGGAUGCUAGCCCUUCUCCUGCCUCGUCAUGACUAUGUUUUCAUAUACACUAUAAAGUUACAGAAUGUCUUUUAAUCGACCGUGCCUCGCGCCGGUCAUUAAACCUUAUACAACUUUCAGCAACGGAUCUCUUGGCUCUCCCAUCGAUGAAGAACGCAGC
rnacentral:misc_RNA from 1 species